AGCGAACGCUGGCGGCAGGCCUAACACAUGCAAGUCGAACGAACCUUUCGGGGUUAGUGGCGGACGGGUGAGUAACACGUGGGAACGUGCCUUUAGGUUCGGAAUAACUCAGGGAAACUUGUGCUAAUACCGAAUGUGCCCUUCGGGGGAAAGAUUAAUCGCCUUUAGAGCGGCCCGCGUCUGAUUAGCUAGUUGGUUGAGGUAAUGGCUCACCAAGGCGACGAUCAGUAGCUGGUCUGAGAGGAUGAUCAGCCACAUUGGGACUGAUACACGGCCCAAACUCCUACGGGAGGGAGGAGUGGGGGAUCUUGCGCAAUGGGCGAAAGCCUGACGCAGCCAUGCCGCGUGAAUGAUGAAGGUCUUAGGAUUGUAAAAUUCUUUCACCGGGGACGAUAAUGACGGUACCCGGAGAAGAAGCCCCGGCUAACUUCGUG
rnacentral:rRNA from 1 species